rnacentral:lncRNA from 1 species
GUACUGGCGCGCGCUGCCUGUGAUUAACAGGCGGGCGCGGCCGCGCGCGGCUGGAAAGGGGCGGGGCUUCCGGAACAGCCGCCCCGGGAGCCUGGGAUAGGGAGUUUCGCUCUUGCUGCCCAGGCUAGAGUGCAAUGGCGCGAUCUCGGCUCACCGCAACCUCCGCCUCCUGGGUUCAAGCAGUUCUCCUGCCUCAGCCCCCCGGGUUCAAGCAACUCUCCUGCCUCAGCCUCCCGAGUAGCUGGGAUUACAGGCAUGCGCCACCACACCUGGCUAAUUUUGUAUUUUUAGUAGAGACGGGGUUUCUCCAUGUUGGUCAGGCUGGUCUCUAUCUCCCGACUUCGGGUGAUCCGCCUGCCUCGGCCUCCCAAAGUGCUGGGAUUAUAGGCAUGAGCCACUGCGCCCAGCCUCCCUAACCUGAUCUUUAAUUCCCCUCCUGCCUCCCAUGACAACUCAAGUUAGUGGCACUAGUAAAGUUACAGAAAUUAUGUGCCUUAGCCAUGGGAAACCGGCCCUCUGUAAACUGUUAUUAAAGCCAUAACAAAUAA